rnacentral:rRNA from 1 species
CGGCGGACGGGUGAGUAACGCGUGGGUAACCUGCCUCAUACAGGGGGAUAACAGUUAGAAAUGACUGCUAAUACCGCAUAAGCGCACAGGGCUGCAUGGCCCGGUGUGAAAAACUCCGGUGGUAUGAGAUGGACCCGCGUCUGAUUAGCUGGUUGGAGGGGUAACGGCCCACCAAGGCGACGAUCAGUAGCCGGCCUGAGGGGGUGAACGGCCACAUUGGGACUGAGACACGGCCCAG